CUAUAAAAAAUGGAAGGGGGAAGGCACUUGGCCCCUCUUGGUCAAAAGACGUAUUCAAGAUUUGGAGUUGGGAGCUGUAAUGCAAUUCAUGGAGCUCAUCCAUAGGGUGAGAGUGCUAAAUUAGGGGAGGAUAGCUUACUUUGGAAGGAGGAGAAGAAGAGUACGUUCCAAAUGAAAUUUUUUUAUAACUCCUUACACAAUAAGAA
rnacentral:lncRNA from 1 species